rnacentral:rRNA from 1 species
UACGAAGGGGGCUAGCGUUGCUCGGAAUCACUGGGCGUAAAGCGCACGUAGGCGGACUCUUAAGUCGGUGGUGAAAUCCUGGAGCUCAACUCCAGAACUGCCUUCGAUACUGGGAGUCUCGAGUUCGGGAGAGGUGAGUGGAACUGCGAGUGUAGAGGUGAAAUGCGUAGAUAUCGAGAGGAACACCUGCGGCGAAGGCGGGUUGCUGGGCUGAUACUGACGCUGAGGCGCGAAAGCCAGGGGAGCGAACGGG